UUAAAAAAGGAAAUAAAAAUAAUUACAAUAAUUAAUUUCAUUAUGUCUCAUAAAUUUACAAUUUCAAAUCAAAUUACAAAUUACAAAUAAAGCCAAAUUAUUAUUACAUUAAAAUUUAAACCAAAUCAGUUUGAACCAGCCUGCUUUGACUCUGUCUUGUUGUUGUCCUUAUUGCUGCAUUUCGUCUUUGAUGCAAUAUCAUGGUUGAGGCACUAACCUUUGCUUUGUAACUAAUUAGAGAAACAUAAAAGCAUAAUAUUUACUAGUCAGUCUUAGUAUACAUGGUAAAAACUAAAAGACAAAAUUUUGAGUUUAAAAAAAAUAAACUAAGGGACAAAUGAAAGCUCAGCAACAAAAGAGAUCAAAACAAAUAAGUCAAAACCAUGAAUGCAUCAGAGGUGUAGAAAAAAUGCAGAUGAUGAGCAAAGGAAAUGAAACAUCAAACAAGAAAUUGAUGGAGAAGGGCAAAGGCAACCAAGAAAGCAACUAAACAGAUAAAAAACUCUAUAAAUACACGUUAUCAAAUUUCAAAAUGGGGAAGAGAAAUCUGAGAUUAAUACUUAUAAAAAAAAACACAUAAAAAGAAAGAGAAGGCAUCACCGUCGUUCUAACUUCCACCGCACACCACCGUCUUUGUCUUCACUAGUAUCUGAAAAGGCAUGUAUCUUCUCAUUAUCUUCACAUUUACAGCUUUUCGAACUUUAUAUUAUUAGAUUGGAAGCUAAAAUAUGAACUAGAGUUGUUUUAUUUGAAAGAUGGAAUUUUGCUUUAUUUGUGUGGAUGUCUUGUUUUUGGUUGAGAGCAAUAGAAAAAGCUUAAAAUGGGGUUUGUUUUUCUAUUAUGAUGCUGAACUUCAGUUUUUUUUACGUGCCAUGUUUUCAAACCCAUGUUUUCAAAUCCGUUUGCUUUAUGCCAGCUUGUGUUGAACUGUUGCCAGGCUGUG
rnacentral:lncRNA from 1 species